rnacentral:lncRNA from 1 species
AAGUGGUGUCCCGUACAGGGAACUCAGAACUCCUCACAGUCAGAGCAGCACCAGUAAGUUCCCAAGGAUCGACAAGAUCCGGUGUGGAUUCCAGAAAUACUGACGAGACGGUGCAACAAACAAGAUGAAGCCUCCAAUAUUGAUCCUGCUGCUGAGUCUGAUGUCUCCACUGCUGAUCCAAGCCAGUCCACAAACCCUGUGGGCCAUAGCUAAAGUGACUUGAUGUUCCUCUGAUUUGUUUCUUUGUCUGACUCGGCGUGUCUU